UUAAGGUCUUGACCUCCUUUCAGAAUUCAAAGGCUCCUAAUAUGCUCAACACUCCUUAGGAAUUGUACAUCUACACAAGUCUUUGGCAGGUCCAGUUGUUGAAGAUUUGGGCAAGCAACAAACUCUAUUUGUUUGAUUUAAGAAGUUCUCCAACAAAAGAAAAUUCAUCCCAGUAACCAGAAUCAGCAUAGAAGACUGCUUAUGAGGAACAAAGUUCGGUUAUGAUAGUAGCAACCUGCAUUGAUUGGGAAUCGUAACAAAAGCUGGUCUAUUGUGUGCUAACUAAGUGGCCCACUUUUUUAAAGGCAAUUCCUGAUGACAUGUGCAGCAUAGGCACCAGCGGCCAUGGAUGUGGGAUUAGUGGAUUUAAUAGCUAUUGAAUUGUUUGAUGAAGAGGGGAGGUUGUCCAGGUGUGUGUGCCUGUAUAGUUAUUCUUUCUUGGAUCUAGAUUUUAAAGACCAAAUUUUUUCAAAUGCCUAGUUGCCAAGCUGAUGAAAGGGAAGCAGAUAAGAAUGCAGUAGAGUUCAUAUAAUUAUGAACUUCAUAUCGGACAGGCUAUUGACGUUACUUGCAAAUCAGAGGGUACCCUGAUCUCAUAUAUAUGCAAUUGCUCGCUCUCAACUCCGAAAAUAGUGAUCAAUGGUGUGAUAUUUUAAUGAAAGUGGUACCGCACCAAUAUACAGUCAACAACUAGGAUGAGCAUAGAAGACCUCCUAUGAGAAGGAGCAAAGUUCCAUUAUGCAAUAUAAAAACAUGUGAG